UACAGGGGGUGCAAACGUUGCUCGGAAUCAUUGGGCGUAAAGCGCACGUAGGCGGUCUGUUAUGUCGGAUGUGAAAGCCCUUGGCUCAACUGAGGAAGUGCAUCCGAAACUGGCAGGCUAGAGUACUAAAGAGGAUCGCGGAAUUCCCGGUGUAGAGGUGAAAUUCGCAGAUAUCGGGAGGAACACCGGUGGCGAAGGCGGCAUCCUGGACCGGCAUUGACGCUGAGGCGCGAAAGCCAGGGGAGCAAACGGG
rnacentral:rRNA from 1 species